rnacentral:tRNA from 1 species
GGAGAGGUGGCAGAGUGGUCGAUUGCGGCGGUCUUGAAAACCGUUGAAGUGAAAGCUUCCGGGGGUUCGAAUCCCUCCCUCUCCGCCA